CCUGGCUCCGUUGAACGCUGGCGGCGUGCCUAACACAUGCAAGUCGAGCGAAGCACUUUGCUUAGAUUCUUCGGAUGAAGAGGAUUGUGACUGAGCGGCGGACGGGUGAGUAACGCGUGGGUAACCUGCCUCAUACAGGGGGAUAACAGUUAGAAAUGACUGCUAAUACCGCAUAAGACCACAGCACCGCAUGGUGCGGGGGUAAAAACUCCGGUGGUAUGAGAUGGACCCGCGUCUGAUUAGCUAGUUGGUAAGGUAACGGCUUACCAAGGCGACGAUCAGUAGCCGACCUGAGAGGGUGACCGGCCACAUUGGGACUGAGACACGGCCCAAACUCCUACGGGAGGCAGCAGUGGGGAAUAUUGCACAAUGGGGGAAACCCUGAUGCAGCGACGCCGCGUGAGCGAAGAAGUAUUUCGGUAUGUAAAGCUCUAUCAGCAGGGAAGAAAAUGACGGUACCUGACUAAGAAGCACCGGCUAAAUACGUGCCAGCAGCCGCGGUAAUACGUAUGGUGCAAGCGUUAUCCGGAUUUACUGGGUGUAAAGGGAGCGUAGACGGAUGGGCAAGUCUGAUGUGAAAACCCGGGGCUCAACCCCGGGACUGCAUUGGAAACUGUUCAUCUAGAGUGCUGGAGAGGUAAGUGGAAUUCCUAGUGUAGCGGUGAAAUGCGUAGAUAUUAGGAGGAACACCAGUGGCGAAGGCGGCUUACUGGACAGUAACUGACGUUGAGGCUCGAAAGCGUGGGGAGCAAACAGGAUUAAAUACCCUGGUAGUCCACGCCGUAAACGAUGACUACUAGGUGUCGGGUGGCAAAGCCAUUCGGUGCCGCAGCAAACGCAAUAAGUAGUCCACCUGGGGAGUACGUUCGCAAGAAUGAAACUCAAAGGAAUUGACGGGGACCCGCACAAGCGGUGGAGCAUGUGGUUUAAUUCGAAGCAACGCGAAGAACCUUACCUGCUCUUGACAUCCCGCUGACCGGACGGUAAUGCGUCCUUCCCUUCGGGGCAGCGGAGACAGGUGGUGCAUGGUUGUCGUCAGCUCGUGUCGUGAGAUGUUGGGUUAAGUCCCGCAACGAGCGCAACCCCUAUCUUUAGUAGCCAGCGGCCAGGCCGGGCACUCUAGAGAGACUGCCGGGGAUAACCCGGAGGAAGGUGGGGAUGACGUCAAAUCAUCAUGCCCCUUAUGAGCAGGGCUACACACGUGCUACAAUGGCGUAAACAAAGGGAAGCGAGACCGCGAGGUGGAGCAAAUCCCAAAAAUAACGUCUCAGUUCGGAUUGUAGUCUGCAACUCGACUACAUGAAGCUGGAAUCGCUAGUAAUCGCGAAUCAGAAUGUCGCGGUGAAUACGUUCCCGGGUCUUGCACACACCG
rnacentral:rRNA from 1 species